rnacentral:rRNA from 1 species
GACGAACGCUGGCGGCGUGCCUAAUACAUGCAAGUAGAACGCACAGUUUAUACCGUAGCUUGCUACGCCAUAGACUGUGAGUUGCGAACGGGUGAGUAACGCGUAGGUAACCUGCCUGGUAGCGGGGGAUAACUAUGGGAAACGAUAGCUAAUACCGCAUAAUAUUGAUUAUUGCAUGAUAAUUGAUUGAAAGAUGCUAUUGCAUCACUACCAGAUGGAUCUGCGUUGUAUUAGCUAGUAGGUGAGGUAACGGCUCACCUAGGCGACGAUACAUAGCCGACAUGCUAGGGUGGUCAGCCACACUGAGACGGAGACACGGCACAUACGGCCUCGGGUGGGAGCCGGAGGGAAUCCGGGGGCAGGGGCGGAAGUUAGUGCGAGCAAGGCGGCGGCAGUGAAGAAGGUGUUCGGAUCGUAGAGCUCGGUUGUAAGAGAAGAACGGGUGUGAGAGUGGAAAGUUCACACUGUGACGGUAUCUUACCAGAAAGGGACGGCUAACUACGUG